AUUUGGCAUGUCGUGACUGAAAAAUCCGUCACGCGUCCAUCUCUAAAGUGAACACAAGUCCAUAAUUGGUAACUGACAGCAAACACACACAAUAUGCUCGAGCACAUACGUAUGAAUGUAUGUACAUUUGUACAUGUUGUACAUGGAGGGACUGUUGCGAGCAAUGCCGAAUGUUGAAUACCGAAUGCUGACCGCUUUACCCAGGGCUAAUCGUCUGAAGUAAUUCCCCAGCAAAAACUGCCACUCAACAUGCAUAAUUUAGGUAACAAAUGAUAACUCGAAGAAAUGUGAAACCAUGCAUAAAUUCACAUCGCUUACAAGUGCAGGCUGCAACUGCACUCAGGGAAUGCAUCACUGGCAUAUGCAAUUUCUAAAAUCCCUUAAAAAAAGAAUGAACAAAUAGCUUUUGCAUGCCGAAGACUAAAUACUCUCUAUGACUUAUGAUUAUGAUUUGCAGAUCUUAGAUCAAUAUACAUGCAAGGAACAUAUUGAAAUUGACUGGCGAAGUUUGCUGGAGACAAGCUUGUUUAGAAAAAGUGAGACGGAGAGACGGAAUAUAUAUGCUCAAUGGGAUUGGAGAAAUCUGCUUCGACACGUUAAAAAUGUUAACACAAAAUUGUAAUGUCUCCUACAAGAGGUUAUUGAAGAUUUUUGAACUUUCCAAAGUUAGUUCUAUGAUUUUCGACAAACUUUG